rnacentral:misc_RNA from 1 species
AAGUCGUAACAAGGUUUCCGUAGGUGAACCUGCGGAAGGAUCAUUACAAAAGGCGCCUUCGGGCGCUGCCUGUCUAACAGGAUACCCUUGAAUUUUGCACUUUCUGUUGCCUCGGUGGGCUUGCCCGCCAGCAGAGGCCCCUUACAAACCCUUUGUAAUUGCAGUAUCAGUCUGAGAAAAAAACAAAUAAUCAAAACUUUCAACAACGGAUCUCUUGGUUCUG